rnacentral:pre_miRNA from 1 species
CCACUUAGGGCCUAAUCCAAAGCCCACUGAAGUCCAUGGAAAGGUUUCCAUGGACUCCAGUGGGCUUUGGAUCAAGCCAUCAAAGA